UCACUUAGGGCAGCAGCCACGACGUCGUCUUCAUCCAGCUCGCGAUCGUCCACUGCAUCUCUCCAAUCGCCGUCGACACUAUUAGGUAAAUCUUCACCGCUCUUCUCGUCUUUAUCUAGCUCUACUCUCCGGUUAACAUCUUGUAAUAUCUCUUCCUUGUUGAAUGUGAGUCUAUCAUCUCCUUCCCUCAUUGAGAAGACCUUGUCCACAAGGUCAGUGGACGGAAACGCCGCUACCAGCUUCUCCAUUCGCUCCCACGUCGUCUCCUCGGGUGGCAGCCCUUCCCACUGGACCAGUAGCUCGACGACUGGCAUGGGUUUUCUUUCUCUAACACCGCUCUCUUCUCCAAAAUCGCUAAUGAAAUGGUCAAAACUUUAUUUUUGCAGAUCAGACCGGGUAUAUUUUUUUCCACCAACUUUGGAUUUUCACCUUUAAAUGCUUUUAGUUUUGAUACAUAAAAUAUUGGGUGAAAUUUGCUCUCUUUUGGAAGAUCCAUCAAAUACGCCACCUUGCUGAUGGCUUUCACCACUUUGAAGGGUCCGAAAUAUCUUACUGAAAGCUUGGGAUGGAGCCUGAAUUCUACUGACAUUUGUCGGUAUGGUUGGAAUCUAAACAUGACUCAAUCCUCCACUGUAAGAACUGUUUCUCUCCUUUUUUUAUCUGCUAUUUCCUUCAUGUAUUCUUGGGAUUUUUUAAAACAAUUUUUCACAUAUUUAAUGAUCUCUUUACGCCUCUUUAAUUCUGUUUGAACUGCUUCUACAUAUGAUGUCUUUCCGACCAACGAUGGUAUGCUUGGCGC
rnacentral:lncRNA from 1 species